rnacentral:rRNA from 1 species
GCAGCCGCGGUAAUUCCAGCUCCAAUAGCGUAUAUUAAAAUUGCUGCAGUUAAAAAGCUCGUAGUUGGAUCUUGGGCGCAGGCUGGCGGUCCGCCGCAAGGCGCGCCACUGCCCGCCUGGCCUUCCUCUCGGUCUCCGCCCGGUUCUCUUGACUGAGUGCCGAGCGCGGCCGAAACGUUUACUUUGAAAAAAUUGGAGUGUUCAAAGCAGGCCGACCGCCUGGACAGCAGAGCAUGGAAUAAUGGAAUAGGACCUCGGUUCUAUUGCGUUGGUUUUCGGAACUCGAGGUAAUGAUUAAGAGGGACUGACGGGGGC